rnacentral:rRNA from 1 species
AGUGAACGCUGGCGGUAGGCCUAACACAUGCAAGUCGAACGGCAGCACAGAGGAGCUUGCUCCUUGGGUGGCGAGUGGCGGACGGGUGAGGAAUACAUCGGAAUCUACUCUGUCGUGGGGGAUAACGUAGGGAAACUUACGCUAAUACCGCAUACGACCUACGGGUGAAAGCAGGGGACCUUCGGGCCUUGCGCGAUUGAAUGAGCCGAUGUCGGAUUAGCUAGUUGGCGGGGGAAAGGCCCACCAAGGCGUCGAUCCGUAGCUGGUCUGAGAGGAUGAUCGGCCACACUGGAGCUGAGACACGGUCCAGACUCCUACUGGAGGCAGCAGUGGGGAAUGUUGGACAAUGGGCGCAAGCCUGAUCCAGCCAUACCGCGUGGGUGAAGAAGUCCUUCGGGUUGUAAAGCCCUUUUGUUGGUAAAGAAAUCCAGCUGGCUAAUACCCGAUUGGGAUGACGGUACCCAAAGAAUAAGCACCGGCUAACUUCGUGCCAGCCGCCGCAGUAA